AUUUCGUGCAUUAGAGUUUGAUCUUUGAAAAUUUUCUUCUAAUUCAUGCUUACGCAUGUUUAUAGAUAAUCAGAACUCCACGAAGAUCUGUCAGAGGUUGUCCUGCUAGACGUAAUAUUGAGGAGCAAGGGGUAACAAAUGCACCCAAAGUGAAACCUCGAGGAGAGGUUACCAGUGUUAAGUUCUGUGAGGCCAUCAGGAUAUUGAGUAAAGUUGUGACUAACAAUUUCGGCAAUAGAGAGGAGCUUAAUAGGAAGUGACUGAUACUUCAAGGAUUCGAGAGUUCUUGAUGAUAAAUCCUCCAAUUUUCACGGGUUCAAACACUCUUGAGGAUUCAGAAAGUUCUGUUGAGCAACAAAAGAAGAUAUUUGAGGUUAUGCAUAUUGUUGAUACUGAUCGAGUUGAACUAGUUUUAUAUCAACUAAAGAAUGUUGCUAGGAGAUGGUUUGACCAGUGGCAAGAGGGUAGAGCUAUGGAUACACCACUUGCGAGUUAGGCAUUUUUUGAGUAAACCUUUUUUGGGGGCAUUCUUUCCCCUAAGAACUGAAAGAAAAUAAUGUACGAAAAUUUCUUAUCCUUAAGAAGAUUCCUUGAGUGUUCAUGAGCAUAGGUUGAAGUUCAUCCAACAAUCCCAUUAUGCUCCACAGAUUGGUUGCGGAUAUAUGGAGUAGAAUGAGUCUGUUUGUUGAUGGAUUAUCCAUUCUAUCAAGUAAGGAGGGUAGUGAAGCGAUGCUAAUUAGGGACAUAUGGAUACAUCAAGGUUGAUGGUAUAUGUGCAAUAGAUUGAAGAAGAAAAGUUGAGUGAUAGGGAAGAAUUCAAAAAUAAGAAAGCUAAGACAGGAAAUGAGUCCAGGUAGAAGAAAAAGUAAUGUGAAUGUUCGUACUUUCAGCAAAAGUGAAAGGGACCUGCACCAUCAUCUAAUAGUGCACCUGCACCCAAAAUAAAAAAUGAGUAUAAUGGUCACGAUCCCAACACUUCAAAGCUAGACCUGAGCAGUCUCAAGGUAGCGUGGCACAAGGAGGUAACUAGGAUCCUGUAUGUGCUGGGUACGGUAGAACCCACCCAAGUAAGUGUCGUGAUUGACAAUCAUAUUGUUUCAAGUGUGGACAAAUGGGUUAUUUCAUAAGACAAGGUCCCAAGAACUGGCAAGGUAAUGUUAAUCAGGGCAAUAGAUCCCAAUCUUCAUCAGUUGCUCCACCAAACAGGAUUGCACCUGGAGGAGCUAUUUCCAACACUGGCAGAGAAUCGAAUCGCCUUUAUGUAAUCAGUAGUCGUCAUAAAAAAGAGAACUCUCCAGAUGUUGUCACAUUUAUGAUCAAAGUCUUUACUUUUGAUGUUUAUGCUUUGCUAGACAUCGUUUGUAACCCCUUAUGUUGCAAAUAAGUUUGAUGUUAUUCCUGAGAAACUUUGUGAACCCUUUUGUAUUUCUACACCUGUUGGAGAAUUUAUUCUAGUUAAGCGAGUAUAUCACGAUUGUGUCAUUUCCAUCAAUCACACGGGCAUAAUUGAUUAUUUGAUUGAGUUAGACAUGGUAGAUUUUGAUGUCAUUCUAGAUAUGCAUUAACUUCAUGCCUAUUACACUUCAAUAGAUUGUAGAACUCGACUUGUCAAGUUCCAAAUUCCUAAUGAGCCAGUUUAGAGUGGAAAAGUAGGAUAGUUGUGUCUAAGGGUCAUUUUAUUUCAUAGCUUAAGGCAAGAAAUUUAGUUUCCAAGGGGUAUGUAUAUCACUUAGUCAGGGUUAAUGACUUUAGUGUUAAUCUACCUCUUAUUCAGUCAGUUCCAUUAGUAAAAGAGUUUCGAGAAGUCUAUUCACAUGAUCUACCGGGAGCUCCUCCUAAGAGAGAAAUAGACUUUGGCAUAUGCAUUCUUCCUGAUACUCAUCAUAUCUAUAUUCUUUCAUAUAAAAUGGCACCAGUAGACUUGAAAGAGCUGAAAUAACAGUUGAAAGAUCUCCCUGAUAAGGGCUUUAUUCGAUCAAGUGUCUCAGCUUGGGGCGCUCCGAUCUUAUUUGUGAAAAAGAAAGAUGGUUCCUUAGGAUGUGUAAAAAAGAACCUUCAGUUGAGCAAGGUUACCAUCAAGAAUAAGUAUACUCUUCCGAUAAUUGAUAUUUUUUUAAUCACCUUCAGGGUGUUCUAUGUUUUUCUAAGCUUGACCUUAAAUCUAGCUACGAUCACUUAAAAGUAAAGAAGUGUGAUAUUCCAAAGACAGCAUUCAGGACCCGUUAUGGUCAUUAUGAGUUUCUGGUCAUGUCGUUCAGUUUAACUAAUGCACCUGCAACAUUCAUGUACCUUAUGAAUAGAGUUUUCAACCCUUAUUUAAAUAUGUUUUUAAUCAUCUUGAUUGAUCACAUACUAAUCUGUUCAAGGAAUGAAUAAGAUCAUGCUAUCCAUCUCAGAAUAGUUCUUUAGACUUUGAAAGAUAAGGAGUUAUAUGUUAAGUUCUCUAAUAUGUGUUAUGGCUUGAGUCUGUGGCGUCUUUGGUCCACAUAGUUUCCGUUGAUAGAAUUAGAGUUGAUACCCAAAAUAUAGAGACGACAUGGAGUUGGCCUACACCCACAUAUCCAACAGAUAUUAGGAGUUUCUUGGGCUUUUUGGCUAUUUUAGAAGGUUCGUAGAGGGGUUUUCGUCUAUUUCAUCUCCUUUGACCAAGUUGACUCAGAAAAUAGUGAAGUUUCAAUGUUCUAAAGCUUUUAGGAGUUGAAAAAAAGUUUGACUGCUGCCUUAAUUUUGACCUAACCAGAAGGUACUCAAGGUUUUGUGGUGUAUUGUGAUGCAUCUAGAAUUGGUUUGGGUUGUGUGUUAAUUCAGAAUGGAAAGGUUCUAACUUAUGCCUCCAUAUAUUUGAAAGUUCAUAAAAGAGUUACUCAACCCAUGACUUAGAGUUGGUUGUUGUAGUAUUUACUUUGAAGAUAUGGUGUAAUUAUUUGUAUGGUGUUCAUGUUGAUGUAUUCACCGAUCACAAAAGCCUUCAGUAUGUGUUCACUUAGAAAGGGCUUAAUCUCAGACAAAGGAGAUGGUUAGAAUUACUUAAGGAUUAUGAUAUGAGUGUUCUUUAUCACCUAAGUAAGGCUAAUAUUGUUAUUGAUGCUUUAAGCAAGUUGUGUAUGGGUAGUACCGUCCAUGUUGAGGAAGAAAAGAGAGUUAUUGAAAGAUAUGUGUAGACUUGCACACUUAGGAGUCUGACUGAUCAAUUCCACAGAAGAAGAAGUAGUGGUGAUGAAUGGGGAUGAAUCAUCAUUAGUGGCAGAAGUGAAAGAGAAGCAAGACUAAGACCUAAUUUUGCUUGAAUUAAAGGCAAAUGUUCAUAAACAAAAAGUUUUAGCUUUUGAACAAAAAGAAAAUGGCAUAUUGAGAUGUUAAAGUAUAUUGUGUGUACCAUUGGUGGAUCGACUCCAAGAGAGGAUCAUGAAAGAAGCUCAUAGCUCUAUAUAUUUCAUCCAUCCAGGUUCCACAAAGAUGUCUCAUGACUUGAUAAAGGUGUAUUGGUAGAAUAGUAUGACAAAGGGCAUUACAGAAUUUGUUGCUAAGUGUCCAAAUUGCCAACAAGUUAAAGUAGAGCAUCAAAAGCCCGGUGGAUUGGCUCAGAAUGUAGAACUUCUGGAAUGGUAGUGAUACAUAAUUAAUAAGGAAUUCAUCAUAUGUUUUCCAAGGUCUCGCAGGUAGUAUGGUUCUAUUUAGUUGAUUGUCGACAAAAUGGCAAAACCAACCCACUUUUUAAUUGUAAGGACUACCCAUUCAGCAGAAGGUUAUGCUAAGUUAUAUCAUCAAGAGGUGGUUAGACUUUAUGGGGUUCCGGUAUCCAUUAUUUCAGAUUGAGGUGUGCAAUUCACUGCAUAGUUUUGGAAGUCAUUUAAAAAAGGCUUAGGUUCAGAGGUGAACUUAAGUACCAAAUUUCAUCCUCUAACUGAUGGGAAAAUAGAGCCACUAUUUAGACUUAGAGGAUAUUUUGAGCGCUUAUUGAUUGAUUACAAAGGUAAUUGGGAUGAUCACCUAUCUCUCAUCAAGUUUGCUUACAACAAUAGUUACCAUUUUAGCCUCCAGAUGACUCCUUAUGAAGAUCUUUAUGGGAGAAGGUACAGAUCUCUUGUUGGAUGGUUUGAAGUUGGUGAAGAUGGAUUUAUAGGACCAUAUUUAGUCCAUCAAUCUAUGGAGUAGGUGAAAAUGAUUCAGGAGAGGUUGCAAACAGCGUUGCGCCAUCAAAAAUCCUACACUGACGUUAGGAGGGAGUUAGAGUUUGAAGUAGAUGAUUGGGUUUACUUGAAAGUCUAAAUCAUGAAGGGUGUUAUGAGAUUUGGUAAUAAAAGGAAGCUUAGUCCGCGGUAUAUUGGACCUUAACGAAUAAAUAUCCAAAAGGAUUGGCAAAAUAGCUUAUGAACUAGACCUACCACAAGAGUUAACAGCGGACCAUCCGACAUUUCACAUCUCCAUGUUGAGGAUGUGCAUAGGAGAUCCUUCAUUAAUCAUACCAACUAAAUAUAUUGGGAUCAAGGAUUGAUUAUCUUAUGAAGAGAUUCUGGUCCAGAUUUUAGAUCGUCAAGUUCGCAAGUUCAGGACAAAGGAAGUAGCAUCAGUCAAAGUCCUUUGGAGGAACUAUUCGUUGAAGAAACUACUUGGGAAGCUGAGGAGGAUAUGAAGAAGAGGUAUCCACAUAUCUUCUAAUCAGGAGAAAUUUCAGACCAAGGCAUGAUGCAAUUUUCGGACACAAUGAAAUUCUCAAGCACAAGACAAUUUCUCUGGCACAUGCAAAUUCUCGGGUUUGUUUUAAGGUUUGAAGCGUGGACAUUGAGUAUUCAGUAUCAACUUUACCCACCUUGUUCUCAAGUGAAAGUAGUAUCUCUCUCAUGUGUAUUUAUUUAUAUUAUGUAUGUACUCUAUUAUAAGCUUUUGUACC